CUGCUGUUAAAAAGCUCGUAGUUGGAUCAGGAGCAGGACAGUGCACGGUGGCCCUACUUGCAAUACUGGGUCCGAUCACUGUUGCGGUAGCGGAUCAACCCCGUGCGCCAAACUGUCCACUCUAACUGACCGAAACGGUUCCCUGUUAGUAGGUUCCUUCAUUGGGACUGAAAGCGCUUCCGCAUGAACCAUAUGCAUACGGGACGUCGGUCAAUGUUACUGUGAACAAACCAGCGUGUCCAAAACAGGCGUUCGCCUGAAUGUUCGAGCAUGGAAUAACAAGGGAUCGAUUCUCUCGAUUCUUUUUGUUGGUUUUAACACCGAGAAGGAGUAAAUCAGGUCACGGUGUCUGAGUUGGGUUUCCCUUCAUCUCGGUGGAGGCCCCAAUUAGGCCGUGUCCUUACGGGAUAAAUAGGGACUGACGGGGUCGUACGUACUUCUACGUCAGAGGUGAAAUUCUUAGAUCGUGGAAAGACGAACUUCUGCGAAAGCAUUCGACAAGAAUGUCUUCAUUAAUCAAGAACGAGAGUGUGGGGAUCGAAGAUGAUCAGAUACCGUCGUAGUCCACUACUGUAAACGAUGCCGUCUCAGGAU
rnacentral:rRNA from 1 species